GAUGAAGAACGCAGCGAAAUGCGAUAAGUAAUGUGAAUUGCAGAAUUCAGUGAAUCAUCGAAUCUUUGAACGCACAUUGCGCCCGCCAGUAUUCUGGCAGGCAUGCCUGUUCGAGCGUCAUUACAACCCUCAGGCCCCCGGGCCUGGCGUUGGGGAUCGGCGGAGCCCCCCGUGGGCACACGCCGUCCCCCAAAUGCAGUGGCGGUCCCGCCGCAGCUUCCAUCGCGUAGUAGCUAACACCUCGCGACUGGAGAGCGGCGCGGCCACGCCGUAAAACACCCAACUCUUCUGAAGUUGACCUCGAAUCAGGUAGGAAUACCCGCUGAACUUAAGCAUAUCAAUAAGCGGAGGA
rnacentral:misc_RNA from 1 species